AGGCUCCCUCCGUCUGUCUACACCUUCUCAUAUCCAGCACAUGAGAGCCAGCCUGUUGUCAGGGCACGUCAUGUGUACAGGGGAUGUCCUAUUAAAGGAGAUGGACGAUCCUAUUACCACACUUCUUAUCAAGCACAGUUUAAAGGUGAAUGGAGUCCACCAGUAAAGUCAAGUGAAAAGCACAUGUCUCGUAUUAAAUUUGGGGAUCCAAGAAGCGGUGGAUCUGUGAGUGAGCAGAAACAUGCCUACACUGUUCCAGACAAGAGAAAGCACAGGGUCUAUGACAAGGAGCGUGCUGUCUUCCAGAUCCACCACACAAACCUGCAGCUAGGGGAUGGUUGCACCAGAUUUUUCACGUCAACGUCAGAGCUCUUCCCAGUACACAAUUUAGAGCCUGUAGCUGUUGCUCGUCCAAACAGAAAUGCCUCAUCCAUCCCCAGAGGCGACGAAGAUCCUGAGAACCUUGCGCUAGCAAGAAUGACUACGACACAGUUCUUCUACCCAGAGACUGGCAGGUGGAACUUCUCACCAAAGCCUGACUUGCUACUGCAGAAGCAUCAAAGCAGCAUCUGCUUAGGAGCUGACCGUUCAGGCUCCUGUUACUUCAGCACAACGCAGCAGUCAGACUAUCAGCCACCACACCAGACCCAGAGGGUGACAGGAGGCAAGAAUCGACGUGACAGCCACAUCCCCUUCGACUACCACAGUAAGAUUAAGUUGCUCAGACUGUCGUGGUGCUGGAAGUCUUGCUUACCCAUCACCUUGAUGCCUGUGCCAGCCAUAGUCAUUCACUGUUAUCAUACAGCAAUUGUUGGCAUAUUCAGAUGGUGACAUGAGUGAUUUCUGGGACAUGAACCAGUGGCUUGACCUUUCUCCCUUGCUAUGUUUGUGUUUUGAAGUUGCCUUGUUUUUGUACUCGGGGAAGGAAGGAAAGGAUUUGAAUCAAAAGCUUUUGCAACCUCAGGAAGAGAUGCAGUUAGAGCUGGUCGUGGGAGGCAUUAAGAAAAUCCUCCUGGCAUUGCCUCCUCUUUCUGAUGGACAGUAUUCUGCAGCUGAGAGAGGUUCCUUUACACCAUGUAUCUGUUUUUAAUCCAUUUGUUUUACUAGAUGUGGAACAGAUCACAGCGGCAACUGCUGUUUUCUUUGGACACAUAACUACUAGAUGGAAUGAUAUUCCUGUAUCUUCCAUGUGACUUUCUUAAUUUAUCUCCUCACUCUGAGAACUGUCUGACUGCAGUUGUAUGCUGGCCAAAGGUUUUCAGUGAAGUGCUGACUGCAAAGUCUGUCUUUGCCUCUCGUUAGUGGAAAUGCAUGCAGAUCUGUGACUGCAAGUCAAACUGCAACGUUUUCUGAUGUUGCUUCCUAAUUUACUGGCUUGAAUUUUCUUU
rnacentral:lncRNA from 1 species